rnacentral:rRNA from 1 species
UAAAACGUAGGGUGCAAGCGUUAUCCGGAUUUAUUGGGCGUAAAGGGUUUCGUAGGCGGUGGAGUAAGUAGUCAGUUAAAGCCUUCGGCUCAACCGAAGAAAUGCUGACUAAACUGCUCUACUUGAGGUCGUUAGGGGGUGCUGGAAUUCCUGGUGGAGGGGUGAAAUCCAUUGAUAUCAGGAAGAACGCCGAGAGCGAAGGCAGGCACCUGGGGCGAUCCUGACGCUGAUGAACGAAAGCUAGGGGAGCGAAAGGGAUUAGAGACCCCUGUAGUCCUAGCCGUAAACGAUGGACGCUAGAUGGGUCGAGAUUUCGACCUGUCGUAAGCUAACGCGUUAAGCGUCCCGCCUGGGAAGUACGGCCGCAAGGCUA